GGUCACGAGUGCCAGCGCGAAACCCCGGUUUGCUGGCCGGCAACCCUCCAUCGCGGCGGGUGCCCGGGUGACGACCCGGCCGGUCCGGAACGGAUGCGGCAAGCGCGGACC
rnacentral:ncRNA from 2 species